rnacentral:lncRNA from 1 species
UUGGUUAGAAUUUGGUUUAGGAUUUUUUUAUUGUUUGGUUUAGGAUUUAGGAUUUGAUUAGGGUUUAAUUUAGGAAUUAAAGUUUGAUUAGAAUUUGGUUUAGGGUUUAGGAUUUGGUUUAGGAUUUGGUUGAGAUAUGGUUUAAGGUUUGUUUAGGAUUUAGUUAGGAUUUGGUUAGGGUUUGAUUUAGGAUUUAAAGUUUGGUUAGGAUUUUAUUUAGGGUUUAGGAUUUGGUUAGGGUUUCAUUUAGAGUUUAGGAUUUGGUUAGGAUUUGGUUUAAGGUUUAGGAUUUGAUUAAGGAUUUAGGAUUUGAUUUAGGAUUUAGGAUUUUAUUAGGAUUUGGUUAGAAUUUAAGAUUUAAUUAGUUUUAUCUAAAGUUUGAAUGAAGUGUAAUAGGAUUUUAACUAGAAUUAAAUUAAAAUUGAAUUGAGAUGUAUUUGAGAUAUAUUUGUGAUCAUUCUAAUAUUUUUUUAAGAUUUCUUAUUAUUUCUUUGAAAUUUCUUUGAGUUUUCUUUGAAUUUGAUUAAAGCUUGCCUAGCAUUAUUAUGGUCUAAUUAGAGUUUAGUUAGUAUUCUAUUAGAGUUAGGAUUUUUUGUUACAAUUUCCAUUCUACCUUCCAUAGUCAAGUACCUGGAGCAUUCUCAAGCAAGACUUCGCAUAUUACGACAAUGUAUUGAGUGAGAUGUGUGAAAAAGAAACCUUGAGAUUGAUAGACACCUAUAUCUUAAAAGAAAGUUUUAAGGUAACAAAGCUAAAGUAUGAUGUUAUCUUUGGUAUACUAUAGAUGGAAAAUAAGCAAGUUGAUUGAAUAGAAAGAACAAUCUCUUU